GAUCCUGUUUCUGCGUGGCUUCUCCUCGCGAGAGUACCGUAGGUUGCUUCUGCCGGCAAGCGGGCAGGCGCUGGGUCCGAGAGGAGAUUACAGGUAGCUACUUCCAAUUACUGAUUAACAUGGUCGGCUUUGUUCUAUCAAGGAUCUCAAAUGUUCUUCAAUAAUUAUCCAUAAGGUUUCAAAGUUGGAUCAUCCAUAAUUGCUUUAAAAGAAGAUGAAAAAGUAGAAGACAGUUUAUAUUUCUGGACCACUGAGAAUUGCUCUUCUUAACAUGUUCAUCUAUCUUUAUGUUGUUAUUCAAUGCCAGAUUUAUAUGGACGUCUCCAUACACACCUACUUUGACUGCUUGUAUAUUUGAAAGCAAUAAAUUCUUUAAAAG